rnacentral:rRNA from 1 species
CAAGUCGAACGAUGAAGGAGGAGCUUGCUCCUCUGGAUUAGUGGCGAACGGGUGAGUAACACGUGAGCAAUCUGCCCUUGACUCUGGGAUAAGCGCUGGAAACGGCGUCUAAUACCGGAUACGACCCUCGGAGGCAUCUCCUGUGGGUGGAAAGAACUUCGGUCAAGGAUGAGCUCGCGGCCUAUCAGCUUGUUGGUGAGGUAAUGGCUCACCAAGGCGACGACGGGUAGCCGGCCUGAGAGGGUGACCGGCCACACUGGGACUGAGACACGGCCCAGACUCCUACGGGAGGCAGCAGUGGGGAAUAUUGCACAAUGGGCGCAAGCCUGAUGCAGCAACGCCGCGUGAGGGACGACGGCCUUCGGGUUGUAAACCUCUUUUAGCAGGGAAGAAGCGAGAGUGACGGUACCUGCAGAAAAAGCACCGGCUAACUACGUGCCAGCAGCCGCGGUAAUACGUAGGGUGCAAGCGUUGUCCGGAAUUAUUGGGCGUAAAGAGCUCGUAGGCGGUCUGUCGCGUCUGCUGUGAAAACCCGAGGCUCAACCUCGGGCUUGCAGUGGGUACGGGCAGACUAGAGUGCGGUAGGGGAGAUUGGAAUUCCUGGUGUAGCGGUGGAAUGCGCAGAUAUCAGGAGGAACACCGAUGGCGAAGGCAGAUCUCUGGGCCGUAACUGACGCUGAGGAGCGAAAGCGUGGGGAGCAUACAGGCUUAGAUACCCUGGUAGUCCACGCCGUAAACGUUGGGAACUAGAUGUGGGGACCAUUCCACGGUCUCCGUGUCGUAGCUAACGCAUUAAGUUCUCCGCCUGGGGAGUACGGCCGCAAGGCUAAAACUCAGAGGAAUUGACGGGGGCCCGCACAAGCGGCGGAGCAUGCGGAUUAAUUCGAUGCAACGCGAAGAACCUUACCAAGGCUUGACAUGUACGAGAACGCGCUGGAGACAGCGAACUCUUUGGACACUCAUAUACAGGUGGUGCAUGGUUGUCGUCAGCUCGUGUCGUGACAUGUUGAGUUAAGUCCCGCCACGAGCGCAACCCUCGUCCUAUGUUGUCAGCA